UCUGAUUGGGUGGGAUAAAAAUAAUUUUCUUCUAUUUUUUUUGUUAUGUAAUUUUCUCUCUCGUUUGUUUCCUGUCUCUCUCCCUUAAUCGACUUCCAUAUCAUCUCCACGGAAAAGACACGAUAGAAUUGAAAGGUUAUUCAGUCGGUGAUUCAGUCAGAAAGUGGAUUUUACCGGCGGCAUCACAUCUCCACCGUAAGAGACACCAUCGACGAUCUCGGUUCAUCAAUCCAUCGCGAUUAAUUAGUGGGUUCAUCAAUCCAAUCACAUCUCCUGAUUCUACUGUGGAAAAAAUAGAAAGUUUCAAGCUUAUUCAAAUUGGUUAGAGUCAAGAGAAGUAAGAAAUGGAGAAACGAGUGAGAGAAGACAAGAGUGUUCAACAACUCAUGUACUUGAGCAUUUGUGCUUUUGAUUAUCGCAGAGAUAUUUCUCCAUCAAGUAGACAGUGCUACUGUUUUCCACAAUGCAAGCACAAGAUUCUUUGAUGGUUUUAGAUUCGGAUUUGGUGCAGAGGUAGGGAAGAGAGAGACAUAUUAUAUCACAUCUAUUAAACCGAAUAGAUAGAGAAGUGUCUAUGAAUGAGUGGUUAAUGUGGGUGGUUCUUCUUAUGUAUAUGUGGGAAUAAGCACAAGCAGGAUCUAUGCCCGUGAUCCAGUCAGAGUAGAAGGAUUAUUGACAACGAGAUGGAUAAUGAGAGGAAAAGGACAAGU